ACGCCCCUCAGCGUCCCGGAUGUACUCUGCCUGAAGAGGAUGGGUGGCCCGGGCAUCUCUUAACGCCGCGUACAGCUGCCGUAGCUGCGGCGCCUUCUUCAGCUAAGGAUUUGAGAGGCUGAAGGGCGGGCGUGACAGCCUGAAGAGUUAAAACAGUGGUUCUCGGGAUACCUGGCUCGCUCAGUUGGAAGAGGAAUAGCUGGAUAGCUCGUGGCCAAUGUGUUUGCCGUGUAGCAAGCCAGCCAAGGCACUGAACGCCUAAAUAAAUCAGAGAAUUCUUUGUCUAAGUUUGCCCUUCAUCACAUGAACAACCAAAAAGAGUAUUAAUACGUUAAACCAACAGAGGACUUAAAUGGGAAUUGGAUGCUAGCAAUUGCUUAACAAGUGGAGAAUAGUAAACUUUUAAAACUGUAAAUACUUGUUUAAAAAGACAAAUGUUCUCAUUCACAUGUUGUCAGCGGAAUUGUAAACUGGUACAAUUUUCUCUGGAAGAGAUGCUGGCAGUAAAUACUCAAAGUCAUAACAAUAUUCAUAUCCUUUGACCCAGUAAUUCAAUUUCUGGGAAUUUGCCCAAAACAAAUAAUUAAAAAGAAGACAUAAACUGUGUUAUAAAGAUGCUCCUAACAACUCUGUAUAAUACAAAA